UGAGGACACCGGAGAGGAGGAGCAAUAAGGAAAUGGGAAGAGAACAUGUGUUUGCGUACCAGCGUUGUUGAUGAGCAGGUCCAGCCUGGACUCAGUUUUCAGGAACGUUUUGGCAAAGCAGCGGACGGACUUCAGACUGGCCAGGUCCAACUGCAUGUAGAGCACAUCAGUACUUCCUAUAUCUUGUAUCCUCCAGACAGUCUCACCUGUGAUGAUGACGGUCUUCCCGGCCAUCGCUGCGUUUCCUUUACAUUUGGAUCUUUUGAAGAGAGUCUGUGUGAGGAUGAUGUAAGCUCCCAGAACCACACCGACCAACAACAGGAGAUACAUGGUUUGUUACAGCGUCUGAUCCACCUGCAAAUCACUGACUGACUCAAGAACUGAGCUCUGUCAUUUAUUCACCUCGUGGGACUCACCUGUCGGACCAGUUCUACCUGCUUGAGCCUGGCAGGUGAGUCACAGCUCAGGCAGAUCCAACUGGUUCUGCUGGCAUUCCUUAUCAGUCAGCACUGAUGUUGAACUGAAACUCCUGCUGCUGUUCAAACGUUAAUGGGAAGGGAACUCCAUUCAGGAGUCUGCCCCUCUCCAGUUUUAACUUGGACUUGACUUAGCAUCUUAGCAUCGUCGUUGUGGGCAUUUAUAUUUAUUACUGAACCCCGUCUACACUCACAACUCCGGAUCAGUUUAGAAUACUUCUGUUGCACUCCCUUUGUACAUAUGCACAUCUGCACUAUCUUGUAAAUUAACUAUUAUUUGGUCAUUUGCAGAAUUUCCUUCAUCAUUUUUUGUUUAUUUGUAUUGCUGUUAUUUGUAUU